GGCCUCUUGUUUAUAUAUGAGGUCUGACCUGCCCGGUGAAAUUAUUUUAACGGCCGCAGUAUUUUGACUGUGCAAAGGUAGCAUAAUCAUUAGUCUUUUAAUAGGGGGCUGGAAUGAAGGGUUUGACGAGGUGUUAACUGUCUCAUUAAAUUUGUUAUUAAAAUUUGACUUUUCAGUUAAAAGGCUGAAAUUUUAUUGGAAGACGAGAAGACCCUAUAGAGCUUUAUAAUUGAAGAUUUAAUUAUUAUUUGUUUAUUAUUUUUUAUUAUUUCUUUAAUUAUUUUGUUGGGGUGACAAAAAUAUAUAAUUAACUUUUUUAUUUAAUUAACAUUGAUUAAUGAAUAUUAGAUCCAAUCUUAUUGAUUGUUAGAUUAAGUUACCUUAGGGAUAACAGCGUAAUCUUCCUUCAGAGUUCAUAUUUACGGGAAGGCUUGCGACCUCGAUGUUGGAUUAAGAUAAUAGUUAGGUGUAGCCGCUUAAUAUAUAGGUCUGUUCGACCUUUAAAUUCUU
rnacentral:rRNA from 1 species